CAAAGGCUUUUGCUGCUUCAAAAAUUUUAAUGUGGGCACGAGAUAAUUUGCUGAUGAGAAACUCCCAGCUAAGUGACUCUCAAGCAACUGGGGAUUGAACUCAUGGCUGUUGCACCGAGCCACAUCUCCAGCCACCACCACCCCAACCUCUUUUAAAUUUUGAGACAGGAUCUUGUUAAAUUGCUAAACGGAAUUUGCAGUCCUCCUGCCUCAGCCUCCCAGAGUGCUGGGACUACAGGGAUGUGCCCCCAUGCCCAGCCCCGAAGGCCUCUUUUGCUGAAAAACAUUGACCCUUCACUUCAGCCUUCAGAGGUCUGAUGAGUGUUGCCCCUAACUUUAUCUCAGCAUUUGUUUUCUGGAGAGCCUAGCCUGACACAGAGGGAGUUGGUGGCUGGAUUCUUGAGGGACAGGGAGAGAUUGAAGCUGUGUCUGCAGAGCAUUUCAACUUAAAAUUGGCCAACUACCAUCACCUAUCCUAAAGUGUGAGGAAGGACAAUUAAUAACUACCUCAGUGGGAAUUAAUUUGAUAAUAGCUCAUCUGGGGACCCUUCCACCCUGUGCAGAAUCUUGGCAAAGACUCUAGGGACAGUGGAUUUGUGAAGACUAAAAGAUAUGUAACCUCACAAGUAUUGGAUUUGGGCUCAAAGGCUGGUCUGUGACCUGCACGGUCCACAGGGCAACCCCAGGAAAUGUCCUCCAAAGGAUCCGGCCCUUGCCUGGUACUGGUUUAGGGUCCUCCCGGGAGGGGACCUACUGGGAGAAUCAGACUUUCCAGUGGACACGGAGGCAUAUGAUGACCGAGUGACUGAUGAAUGGACCGACACAUCUGUCCGUUUGAAGGUCAGGAAGUGACUUUGAACGACAGAGACUAGCGGGAGGGCCUGAGGGCCUGGAGGCCUCCCGCAGGCCCACUCGUCCGCCAGGGGGCGCCACAGCCACGCCCCGCGUCGCC
ensembl:lncRNA